rnacentral:rRNA from 1 species
GGAUUAGGCAUGCAGUCGAACGAGGAGUGCCGUACGUCAAGCUAGUGGCGAAAGGGUGAGUUGCAUUGAUAACUGCCUUUGAGAUGGGAAUAACUGCGUUUCGAGCAAUCGGAACUACCGAAAGGGCUGCUAAUACCCAAUAAUACUAUAGGUGCAAAAGCACUUGUGGUCAAAUGCUAGGAAUUCUGUUCCUUGUGCUUAAAGAGGGGUUAAUGUCCUAUCAGCUAGUUGGUGGGGUAAUGGCCUACCAAGGCAAAGACGGGUAGCCGGCUUGAGAGGGUGGUCGGCCACACCGGGACUGAGACACUGCCCAGACUCCUACGGGAGGCUGCAGUCGAGAAUCUUUCGCAAUGCCCGAAUAGGUGACGAAGCGACGCCGCGUGUGGGAAGAAGGCCUUCGGGUUGUAAACCACUGUCGGGAGUUAGGAAAUGCAGGUGCGUUAAUAGCGCACUUGCUUGACUAAGACUCCAGAGGAAGCCACGGCUAACUCUGUGCCAGCAGCCGCGGUAAUACAGAGGCGGCAAGCGUUGUUCGGAAUUAUUGGGCGUAAAGAGCACGUAGGCGGCCUUGCAAGUCAGUUGUGAAAGCCUUCCGCUUAACGGAAGAACGGCAUCUGAUACUACAGGGCUUGAGUACGGGAGGGGAGAGUGGACUUCUGGUGGAGCGGUGAAAUGCGUAGAUAUCAGAAGGAACGCCGGCGGCAAAAGCGACUCUCUGGUCCAACUUACGUGAGUGUGCGAAAGCUAUGGGAGCAAACGGGAUUAGAUACCGUAGUCUAGCGUAACGUGGACUAGAUGAGGGUUAUAUUCUCUGCGAGCUAACGAUUAGUGCCCUGGAGUACGCA